GGUAGCGUGGCGGAGCGGUCUAAUGCGCUGGUUUAAGGCACCACUCUAGAAAGAGGCGUGGGUUCGAUUCCCACCGCUGACA
rfam:Nematostella vectensis strain CH2 x CH6 NEMVEscaffold_18_Cont3436, whole genome shotgun sequence.